UACGGGGGGGGCAAGCGUUGCUCGGAAUCACUGGGCGUAAAGGGUGCGUAGGCGGGUCUUUAAGUCAGGGGUGAAAUCCUGGAGCUCAACUCCAGAACUGCCUUUGAUACUGAAGAUCUUGAGUUCGGGAGAGGUGAGUGGAACUGCGAGUGUAGAGGUGAAAUUCGUAGAUAUUCGCAAGAACACCAGUGGCGAAGGCGGCUCGCUGGGACGGUAUUGACGCUGAGGCGCGAAAGCGUGGGGAGCAAACAGG
rnacentral:rRNA from 1 species